rnacentral:rRNA from 1 species
AACGAACGCUGGCGGCAGGCCUAACACAUGCAAGUCGAGCGAGACCUUCGGGUCUAGCGGCGGACGGGUUAGUAACGCGUGGGAACGUGCCCUUCUCUGCGGAAUAGCCACUGGAAACGGUGAGUAAUACCGCAUACGCCCUUCGGGGGAAAGAUUUAUCGGAGAAGGAUCGGCCCGCGUUAGAUUAGAUAGUUGGUGGGUAACGGCCUACCAAGUCUACGAUCUAUAGCUGGUUUUAGAGGAUGAUCAGCAACGCUGGGACUGAGACACGGCCCAGACUCCUACGGGAGGCAGCAGUGGGGAAUCUUAGACAAUGGGCGCAAGCCUGAUCUAGCCAUGCCGCGUGUGUGAUGAAGGUCUUAGGAUCGUAAAGCACUUUCGCCAGGGAUGAUAAUGACAGUACCUGGUAAAGAAACCCCGGCUAACUCCGUG